AUUGAACGCUGGCGGCAUGCCUUACACAUGCAAGUCGAACGGCAGCACGGGAGCAAUCCUGGUGGCGAGUGGCGAACGGGUGAGUAAUAUAUCGGAACGUGCCCAGUCGUGGGGGAUAACGUAGCGAAAGCUACGCUAAUACCGCAUACGAUCUAUGGAUGAAAGCGGGGGAUCGCAAGACCUCGCGCGAUUGGAGCGGCCGAUAUCAGAUUAGGUAGUUGGUGAGGUAAAGGCUCACCAAGCCGACGAUCUGUAGCUGGUCUGAGAGGACGACCAGCCACACUGGGACUGAGACACGGCCCAGACUCCUACGGGAGGCAGCAGUGGGGAAUUUUUGGACAAUGGGCGCAAGCCUGAUCCAGCAAAUGCCGCGUGCAGGAUGAAGGCCUCGGGUUGGUAAACGUUAGCUUUUGUUACGGUAACGAGGACGGU
rnacentral:rRNA from 1 species